AGCGCCGCGGUUCGGUCGCCGAAACUAAACGUACAUCACGCGUGCGCGACUGCUGCCAUCUAGCGGCUUUGACGAUGUAACACGAAGCCUCGCACCUGCCUGCUUCACACAUUUCUCCGUCGCGCUCGCACCAGUGGCACGUAAAAAUAACCUCAAAAUCCUGGUCGCGGACGACCAGUCAUAUAAAUAUUGUCCUUCAAUGCAUUAAUAACAGUGACGUACACUUCCAUACACAAAAACAUAGUGCUUAUAGUGACCUUUCAACAGAUUCCAUCCUCUAGUGUUGCUGCGUAACAGUGAAUUUGAUAAAAUCGAAAGUUUCAAGAAGACAAAUGUUCGUUUUGGUGGGCUGUCAUAGGGCAGCCCCCAAAUUUAGUGCCAAUAUGUGGUGGUGUUUGAUUGUAUGUGUUAUAAACAUCAAAAUAUUUGGAGUGUCCGGUUCUAACAGCAAAUAUCAACCGCAAGUGGCUCCCGUCGCUGAAGGCGCAUGUUCGUUGAAGCAGUUCCAGUGUUCGAAUGGGAAGUGCAUACCGCUGGCCUGGGUGUGCGAGGGAGAGAACGAUUGUGGCGACAACUCGGACGAAAACAUUGAAGAAUGCAAAAAAGAAAGCCGAACCUGUACAUCAUCAGAGUUCAGAUGCAAGACCGGCCGCUGCGUGCCGAUGUCCUGGCGUUGUGACAACGAGAAAGACUGCUCGGAUGGCUCCGAUGAAGACCCUCUGACUUGCACGUCACAGCGAAGUUGUCCAGAACACAAAUUUGUGUGCACAAGCGGGCACUGCAUACCGGCCGCUUGGCAUUGCGACUAUGAGGCCGACUGCCCCGAUGGCUCUGACGAACACCAGUGUGAAGUGGAGCCUUGCGGACCUGAAGAGUUCACAUGUCGCAGCUCGCUUGGGAAACAUGGAGAAUGCGUGCCCCUCACCUGGAUGUGUGAUGACAACCCUGACUGUUCCGACGGAUCUGAUGAGAAAGCAUGCAAUGAGACAUGUCGUUCUGACGAGUUCACAUGCGGCAACGGGAAGUGUAUACAGCAGAGAUGGGUGUGCGAUGGCGAUGAUGAUUGCGGUGACGACAGCGAUGAGGCCAAGUGUCCAGCAAAGACCUGCCAGCCUCACACGCACUUCUCCUGCACUGACGGCCAUUGCAUCUCCGCUAGAUGGCGGUGCGAUGGGGACAUCGAUUGCCCUGAUAGUAGCGAUGAACUGGGUUGCGCAACAACGCCGAAGACGACAUCUCCAUGCAUAUCAACUGAGUUCGAGUGCAAGGACAGAAUGACUUGCGUCCACAAGGCGUGGGUGUGCGACGGCGACCGCGACUGUCCCGAUGGUGGGGAUGAAGCACCUGAGAUCUGCAGGGGCAAUGUGACGUGCAGACUUGACCAGUUCCAGUGUAAAGACCAUAGCUGCAUCCCAGGAGCUUUGUACUGCAAUGGAGACAAGGAUUGCCCAGAUGGCAGCGAUGAAGUCAAUUGCACUCGGCCAAAACCUGUAUGCGACAAGAAGACUGAGUUCGACUGUGGCGGCGGCAUGUGCAUUCCUCUAUCGAAGCUGUGCGACAAGAAACCUGACUGCCCCAACUUCGAAGACGAGCCCAAAGACAAGUGCGGGGAGAAUGAAUGCGCCAAAAAUAACGGCGGCUGCACACAGCUCUGCGUUGAUACCCCUGUUGGAUAUUAUUGUGACUGCGAGACAGGAUACAAGCUGGUCGAUAACAGGACUUGUGACGAUGUAGACGAGUGUUCGGACCCCGGAGCAUGUUCCCAAAUGUGCAUCAACGAGAAGGGAACCUUCAAAUGUGAGUGCCACGCCGGCUACGCUCGAGACCCUCGCGACAGGACCCGGUGCAAAGCGACCGAGGGCCACCCAUCUCUACUUUUCGCAAGGAGAUUUGACAUCAGGAAGAUCAGCUUGGAUCAUCACGAGAUGGUUGCGAUUGUCAAUGACACCAAAUCUGCUACGGCGUUGGACUACGUGUUCAGGACUGGCAUGAUAUUCUGGAGCGACGUUACUGAUGAGAAGAUUUAUAAAGCCCCGAUAGACGAAGGCAGCCAGCGCACUGUCGUGAUCGGCGACCAGCUCAUCACCUCCGAUGGUUUGGCUGUGGACUGGAUCUACAACCACCUGUACUGGACCGACACUGGAAAGAACCAUAUUGAGCUGUCAGACCUUCAGGGCAACAUGAGGAAGAUCCUCAUCAGAGAUCGGCUGGAAGAGCCCAGGGCGAUUGCUCUGAACCCUCUUGACGGAUGGAUGUACUGGACAGACUGGGGCCAGACGCCGAAGAUCGAGCGAGCUGGCAUGGACGGCUCGCACCGGCAGACCAUCGUGGCGUACGACGUCAAGUGGCCCAACGGGCUGACUCUGGACCUUGUCAGGAAACGGGUGUAUUGGGUGGAUGCCAAAAUGAACACAAUAUCGUCAUGCAACUACGACGGCUCAGCUCGCAGGGUCAUUUUGUACUCGACUGAUGUAUUGCGCCACCCAUUCUCCAUCACCACCUUCGAAGACUUUGUCUACUGGACCGAUUGGGAUAAAACUGCGGUUUACAGAGCGAACAAGUUUAAUGGCAAGGAUGUCGAAGCUAUCACUUCUACUCAUACCCUCCAAAACCCGAUGGUGAUCCACGUGUACCACCCGUACCGGCAGCCAGAUGGCGUGAACCACUGUGCAGCUGUCAACGGCCACUGUUCCCAUCUCUGUCUACCAGCUCCAAGGAUAGGUCCCAACUCCCCACGCGUCUCCUGCGCAUGCCCCAAUGGGCUCAGGCUGCUACCCGACAAUCAGAUGUGCGUCGAAGACAGUGUUCCGGAAACUCCAAAGACUGACACUGGAAUCUCGAGCAGCGGACGCGACGCAGGCGUCGUGGCCGCGAUCGUCGUUGGCGUAAUUUCUGGAGUUAUUAUAUUGGCCGCAGUGAUUGCAGUUGUUAUGUACAAGCAUUACGUGAACCGCAACGUUACGUCUAUGAACUUCGACAACCCUGUCUACCGCAAAACUACAGAGGACCACUUUGUACUUGAGAAGAAUGGAUACGCACCAGGCAGCAAGCUGUACCCCAGCACAGUCGGAGAAGAGGUGAGAGCGCUAACGGCCAUGGAGUGCACGCUUAAUAUACAAAACAGCCUAAGAUAAGCCACGCGAACUCUCAUUGCCCUUAUAAACGACGAGUAAAAUCAUUGAUAGAACUUAAUUUCCAUAAAUAGUUGUAUUAAAAACAUUUAUUUUCUAAAUUCAACUUUGAUUCGUGUGUACAAUGAAUAUAAGACCCCAGAAUAUGGCCAAAUGUAAAUAACAAGGUUAAACCUAGGGUUAUUUUACUAUAUUAAAUUUAAGGUCUGCCUAAGACAUUUUAAACUCGAUGUAUUUAGAUUUAUAUUUACUGUACUAGGUAUUAUUUUAAGACAUUUAUAGAAAAUAUUUUUCGUUUAGCGUAAUAAGGAUUGUGGCGAUUUCAAUGUGCCAACAUUUUUACCGCAUCAGUAUUAAAGCAUAGUUGCCAAAUAAUAUUUAUAAAUGGUAGGUGUAUAAUGCUGUAAAUAGUCUUUUUGAAAUACUUAGAGUAAUUAUAUAAUUUUGUAUUUUGCCUUUGCAUUACUGCUUGAUAUAGAUGUAAUGGGUUAUGUUUACUGCAAAAAUGUUUAUUUUUCAUGCAAAAUCUUGCGAGGGCUAAACUUGGCUCGAGAACCGCUCAACACUCCCGGCACAAAUGAGUUUGUAUAGUGUACGAGCAGGAAGCAAAUAUACUAGUAUAUCAUUAAAUGUGAAAAGGAAAAGAAGGACAUGUGAUACUUAAAAAUAGUGAACCAGUGAUUGGGACUUGAACUAACAUUUUUGUAGUAAAAGUCUAAUAGCGUAGUGCAGUGGAACGAGUGAAGCCAGUCUAUACAAGUUCGGUUAUUCACGCCUCGCUAAGGAUCUCAAAAUUGUGAAAUUAUUCGUCUUAAGCUUUGGUUUCAUUGGUGCGAUAAAACGACAUUGUUAUUUUGUUUUUAAACUAUUACCAAUAAAUGGUAUUUAACUUACGUACCUUAAAUAAUGCUUUUACUAAAGGUGUAAUAAAAAAGGUACUGUUAUCUAUUUGUUCGCAAAAUACCAUUGUGGUGCUUCCAGUCGUACCAUUGUCUUCGAUUUAAGUAUAACAUCUAUUAUUUUACAUGAAUCCGAGAUCUUGGUAAACGCUUAUAUACUUAUGUAUCACAUUUUAUAGAUAGUUGGAAAGUGUUCGGCUAUAAUUUUUUAGACUGUGAAUAGAAUAGAAAUUCGAAUACUUAUUGCUUUCGAGCAAAUGCCUGGUGCAUUGUAAUUAUUUAUUAUAGGGUUUACAAUUUUUAUAUUCCUCUUUUAGUUAAGAAUUUAGAUGCUUUAUACAAAUACAGUAUGGAAACGUGCAGCAAAGUGCAACAUUCAGGAGAAUGAAGCUCAUUUAGAGUACUUGUUUACAGAUCUAGUAAAUUAUGUUUUUUCCAAACAAUUUACUGUACAUAAUAUAAUCAUUGCUGUUAUAUUAAUUUAUGAUUCCUAUACAUUUAAUAGGUUGCAAUUAUUUAUUGUAAUAUGAAAUGCGUUUCAAAUUAGACUAAUUGUUCCGAACUGUAACGGAUGUGCCAACUCUAGUGAAAUUAUAAAUUUAAUUGAAAUUCGCCGAUUCCUAUGUUAUGAUAAUAACCUAUGAUAGUAGACCAAUGCUCAGUCAUAUGUUUGUUGGUUCGUAUUUAUUUGAAUUAUAUAAAAUUGUUAUAUACAUUAGCGCAGUUAAUAUUUAUAUUAUAUUUUAUGUGAAGGUUGUGUUUACCAUCCAUAUAUUUAUGUAUUUAUUAGUAAUCAAUAUUUAAUGUUUGGAAAACGACUUUGUCAAGCAAAAUCCUGCCAAAAUCUUUAAUAUAUUACCCUAUUUGUAAUGUAAUUCAAUUACAUUAAAUACUUGAUGCACAUUUCAUACAAUACGCCUAGCUCAAUAAGUGUGGUCACUAAAAUUAUUGUGUAAAUAUUGUCGGUAAAAUAUAUGUAAAAUGUGUUAAUUUUAA